rnacentral:rRNA from 1 species
GACGAACCGUGCGAACGUUGUUCGGAAUCACUGGGCUUAAAGGGCGCGUAGGCGGCUCGCCAAGUCAGGGGUGAAAUACUUCAGCUUAACUGGAGAAGUGCCCUUGAUACUGGCGGGCUCGAGGGAGGUAGGGGUCUGUGGAACUUCUGGUGGAGCGGUGAAAUGCGUUGAUAUCGGAAGGAACGCCGGUGGCGAAAGCGACGGACUGGACCUCUUCUGACGCUGAGGCGCGAAAGCUAGGGGAGCAAACGGG